UCCUACGGGAGGCAGCAGUAGGGAAUCUUCCGCAAUGGACGAAAGUCUGACGGAGCAACGCCGCGUGAGUGAUGAAGGCUUUCGGGUCGUAAAACUCUGUUGUUAGGGAAGAACAAGUGCUAGUUGAAUAAGCUGGCACCUUGACGGUACCUAACCAGAAAGCCACGGCUAACUACGUGCCAGCAGCCGCGGUAAUACGUAGGUGGCAAGCGUUAUCCGGAAUUAUUGGGCGUAAAGCGCGCGCAGGUGGUUUCUUAAGUCUGAUGUGAAAGCCCACGGCUCAACCGUGGAGGGUCAUUGGAAACUGGGAGACUUGAGUGCAGAAGAGGAAAGUGGAAUUCCAUGUGUAGCGGUGAAAUGCGUAGAGAUAUGGAGGAACACCAGUGGCGAAGGCGACUUUCUGGUCUGUAACUGACACUGAGGCGCGAAAGCGUGGGGAGCAAACAGGAUUAGAUACCCUGGUAGUCCACGCCGUAAACGAUGAGUGCUAAGUGUUAGAGGGUUUCCGCCCUUUAGUGCUGAAGUUAACGCAUUAAGCACUCCGCCUGGGGAGUACGGCCGCAAGGCUGAAACUCAAAUGAAUUGACGGA
rnacentral:rRNA from 1 species